rnacentral:rRNA from 1 species
AUCUUCCGCAAUGGACGAAAGUCUGACGGAGCAACGCCGCGUGAGUGAUGACGGCCUUCGGGUUGUAAAGCUCUGUUAAUCGGGACGAAAGGCCUUCUUGCGAAUAGUUAGAAGGAUUGACGGUACCGGAAUAGAAAGCCACGGCUAACUACGUGCCAGCAGCCGCGGUAAUACGUAGGUGGCAAGCGUUGUCCGGAAUUAUUGGGCGUAAAGCGCGCGCAGGCGGAUUGGUCAAUCUGUCUUAAAAGUUCGGGGCUUAACCCCGUGAUGGGAUGGAAACUGCCAAUCUAGAGUAUCGGAGAGGAAAAUGGAAUUCCUAGUGUAGCGGUGAAAUGCGUAGAUAUUAGGAAGAACACCAGUGGCGAAGGCGACUUUCUGGACGAAAACUGACGCUGAGGCGCGAAAGCCAGGGGAGCGAACGGG